AUACGGAGGGUGCAAGCGUUACUCGGAAUCACUGGGCGUAAAGCGCGCGCAGGCGGCUAUUUAAGUUGGAUGUGAAAGCCUACGGCUCAACCGUAGAACUGCAUCCAAAACUAUUUAGCUAGAGUGUGAGAGAGGAAGAUGGAAUUAGUUGUGUAGGGGUAAAAUCCGUAGAGAUAACUAGGAAUACCAAAAGCGAAGGCAAUCUUCUGGAACACUACUGACGCUGAGGCGCGAAAGCGUGGGGAGCAAACGGGAUUAGAUACCCUAGUAGUCC
rnacentral:rRNA from 1 species